UGAAAGAUAAGCUAAACAUUUAAGCUAAUGGGUUCAUACCCCAUGAAUGAGUAAACCUCUCUUUCAA
rnacentral:tRNA from 1 species